GCACAUUCACUCACAUACCCCUUUGACAAUACAUCAAACAAUAUCAUGAUUACCCUUAGCAUCUUUAAUCCCAAUUCAAACAUGAGGCUAACACCCAAAGCAAUGAUUACUCAUUUUUGACCGAGAUUGAAGCAACCUUGCUGUAUUUUUAAGCUUACUUAAAGCCCUUAAUACACCAUUACAACAGUCCAGAAUUUAAAUACCACAUGAAAACUCAGCUAUUCAAACAGAAACUAGCUAGACUACAUUACGAAUCAAUUGACUAAAAGCAUGAUCAUCGUGAAGGAAGUACAGCUGUUGCACAAAUAGAAUCACUGCCAUGAUUCCAACACUGUCUUUAUUUCCAUCUUCAAAUUGAAACAUACAUCAUGAAGGAUUCAGAAAUAUGUACCUGGAAAUGAAAGAAAAAGAGGCAGUAACAGCAACAGCCCAAUAAUCAGAAAACGAGGCAAGGAUCCAAUUUGGUUUGGUCAAUAAAACAGUAACAGUAGCAGCAGAACUCAAAACCAAGUCUAAUAGCACAGUAACCCCAGCAACAAAACCUCAAAAACCAAGCUCUAAGAACACAGAUUCAUGCCAUUUACUCCCGGAUGAAUCAGAAAUGUUUCGUUAAUCGAAAACUUCAAAUAUCACUGAAGAAACUCAAUGAAACAGUCAAAAAAGCAGCCGUUUGUAUUUCUGGAUUUUUUAAUUCUUCAAUCUCUGCCUUCUCAGGCAAGAAAAGGUGCCUUUAUAGGCAAGCAAAUAUGGCCACCUUUCAGAUUUUAGUUCUACCCUUUAAGCCCUUUUCAAAUUUGCUUUUAGCUUAGAGAUCCCUCAAAUUUUGGCUUGUUAACCAAGCUAACUUACUAACAAUCUAAAAUUCAAAUUAAAACCCAUGCGAGAAGCUUCCUAUUUCUGUUAUCAGAAAGAUUCCCUCAGCCAAAUACCCAAACUACCCUCAUGCCCCUGUUAUUUACCUUGCUAACCAAACAAACUUGGGCUCAAAACAACCGGGCAUUUUGAAUUGGGUCAUAAAUGAUUCAAAAAGCCCAAGGUUUGUUCCAAAUCAGUCCAAAUAAACAUUCAGAAACUCGAGCUCUGACACAAAAAUCCCAAAAUAACUAACUGACUGUAAUACGAAUAAUCAAUUUGACUUUGUACUAACUAUUACCUCUAUGGUUAUGAAUUAAAAGAAGGCAAGAUCAACAAUAACAAAGUUGACACAGCAAAAUCAAUCCUAAGCAUGUUUGGAAUAACUAAAUUGAGGUACUAACAAAGUCGUGCUUAAUGGAUCAAAAUAAUUAAAGAAACCAAUUUGGGAAAAUAAAACUUAAUGAAGAACACAAGAACAUGACCAACUCUCAGACGGCACAGUUAACUGUGUUUCAAUUGAAUCGACCAGAAAGAGGAGGAGAGAUGAACCAAGAAACGAAAGAAGGACUCAUCGAUUAAACUCGAACCUGGGGCUUGGCUCUCUUAAAUGACGUCAAGUAUUUGUUCUUUAUAAAAGAACAACUCUGCAUGUACGGGCUUGGAUUUGGCUUUGAAAGCUCGGGCUUCCGAUUCAACAUUCGAUGAGCUUGAAGGUGAUUCGAGAGUCCAGAGUUUGAGAUUGCGAAAGAGAGGACUACGGGGAUUCUGGGGUGUUGAUUUGGGGUGAUUUGGAAAAAGUUAGAUUUUUGGUCUAGUCUUCGAUUUAAGAUUUGAGACAAACCAGGGGGAUUUGAAAGAUAUGGGUUAGGGAUUUGAA
rnacentral:lncRNA from 1 species